rnacentral:rRNA from 1 species
GAUCCUGGCUCAGGACGAACGCUGGCGGCGUGCUUAACACAUGCAAGUCGAACGAUGAAGGGGAGCUUGCUCCCUGGAUUAGUGGCGAACGGGUGAGUAACACGUGAGCAACCUGCCCCUAACUCUGGGAUAACGCUUCGAAAGGAGUGCUAAUACCGGAUAUGAGCCUGGAAGACAUCUUCUGGGUUGGAAAGUUUUUCGGUUAGGGAUGGGCUCGCGGCCUAUCAGCUUGUUGGUGAGGUAAAGGCUCACCAAGGCGACGACGGGUAUCCGGCCUGAGAGGGCGACCGGACACACUGGGACUGAGACACGGCCCAGACUCCUACGGGAGGCAGCAGUGGGGAAUAUUGCGCAAUGGGCGAAAGCCUGACGCAGCGACGCCGCGUGAGGGAUGAAGGUCUUCGGAUUGUAAACCUCUUUCAGCAGGGACGAAGCGAAAGUGACGGUACCUGAAGAAGAAGCACCGGCUAACUACGUG